CGCGAGAAGACGGAUUGGUUGGGGCACAGGGAAGGGCAUGGGAAGGGAAUGGUGCUAAUGUUAUAUUGAUCGUUAAUAAUAUAAAUAGCAUUAACAUCGCUCUCCUUUAAACGCUGAAGCCUGAUGCCACUUCAUCAAGUCAGAUUCCGACCGCCACCGCUUUCUUUGCUCUUACAAACACCUCUUAACUUCUUGUCUUUCUCUCUGCUUCUUUUAUCUAUCUGCCCAUCUCUUUUUCUUCUUGUUUUUUGAACAAUAGUACUACACUCUUUCUGCAUUUAUCAGUAAGAUGCUAAGAAUUUGAAGUGGAAUGGGGCUACAUAGUCUCGAAAUCAAUGAUCUAUAGAGAUUUAUUAUGAAGGCAAAGUAUGAAUGCUGUGGGUGCACAUGAUGGUAUAAUGAUGAACUCUCUUGACCAAAGAAAUCAUAACAAAAGUCGUAAUGACAUUAUGGCUCGUCGGCUGAGGAAUCGAGAACGGCAACGUAGAUAUAGAGCUCGGAAACGCGUUGAAGCAGACUUGAAGAAAUCUACUGUUAUAAAUCAGUCACUGACCCCUCAAGUUGAUCAGCAACUAAAUGCAAGUCUUAGCAAUUUUAUAGACCGAGUUUACUGUAAACGAAAUUGGAAAAAGGAUGCAAGAAGUGCCUCGACAUUUCAGAGUCAAGGAGAUACCAUUAAUGGUUCUCUUCUGAAGCCUGCUCUUAACCACAGUGCUGAUAGCCAUACACUUUCACCCUCUGGAAACAAGGAAGAAACACCACUAGAAAAUAAAUUCUGCGCUUCACGGGGCAUGGUUAAUAUUGAAACAAAUAAAACAAAGUUGGGGCGUAGAGAUUGGAAAGCAGAGGCAAGAAAUAAGAAAAGCUAACGUGGUUAGUGCCAAGAUGUUGAAAAAAAUGAACACGUAUAAAGGAAUUGGAUGUCUCCUGACACCUGACUGCAUAGCUAAUAGAGCUUACAGUGUCGCGGUAAGUAAGUUUGUUAUGGUUUCAGGAAGAACCUCUGUUGUUAUGUUUGUGGUAAUAUUUACAUAAUUUUAUCGUGUUUGAGAUGAAAAAUGGGAAUCAAUAUAUGCACUGGUCAGGGUUUACACUGUGGUA